rfam:Mus musculus chromosome 16, GRC primary reference assembly.
ACCCUCUGACAAUGGGCAAAAAAACACCUUGUUGGUUAUGUUCUGAUAUCAGUCAGAGGCAGAGCAGAUGGCAGUCCUUUGUUCAUCCUAGCUUGAUGCCCUGGCUAGGUGGCCAAAGCUGUCUUAUGCCUCGGACUCAUAA